rnacentral:lncRNA from 1 species
AUCACUUUGGAUUGUGCAUCUUCAAGGGCUGGCAUAACCAGGCUGGCUCCAGUGACAGUGGCUGAGAAUACACCAGCUUUUCUUUGUCAGCCUUUCAAAUCAAGGAGUUUAGAAGAAACCCAGCUAGCUCUCAGCAACCCUCAAGAGAUGUGAUGGAGCCCUAUUAUACGAUCUGCAGACUGUAGCUCUUCACACUGCUAACGAGUUGGUACAGCACAUCUCACUACUGAAGCCAAUAUCAUAUGCCUCAGCCUUGGAGCUCUGUGUGCUCCUCUGGCAGCAGCAGGGCUGGAGUGAGAUGGGUUGCAGGCUGUGAGUCAAUCAGCUGCUUAAAAUGUAAUGCUUCUUUCCCAAUAAAACCAAGACUGGUGGGUGACCCAAGGGGAAGUGCCCAAUCUAGUCUUUGCUCUUGUUUUUUUAUUCCUCUGUGAAAGCAACCAUGAUCUGUGCAACUUCUUUUAGAUUUAAACAGGGUUGGUGAAUGUAGAGCUGGUUGGGGUAAGAGAAAGUCCAGCUCUUUUUGAUUCAAAUUUAAGACAAUGGUAUCUUGGCUUUGUUUCUGAAGUACACAUGCAGUGCAUCUGUGUGCUCUCAGCAUACUUGUCAUGCGUCAGGGCAAAAAGAAAACACGAUGAACCCAGCAAUCAAUGAGCUUCUAUGUUGAAGAGGAUCUCCUCUUCCUGCCUCCUAACACCUUACCAAAGGCUGAAGGAGAUGUGAUACCUCAGAACAGCUGGCUCUGCCCAAGGAUUUGGCAUCCACUGCUCCUCUUGAAGCCCAGGAGACCCGAGAGAAGUGCUGGAGGUACAACACAGCUGGAAGCUCGUGUGGAAGAAUCAACAAGUUCAUGGUUCAGGAAUGCUGCUAAGAAACCACAACAAGGGACUAUGAACAAUUGCAGAUCCAGCUUCCCUAUGGAAAAAGGUGGGGGUGACCCACAACAGAACCACUCCAGGAUUUGACUCAUCUGCCCCAGGAGCUGUAAAAGCAGCACAUAAUGUUGCUUGUUACAGAGAACAUGGAAUUUCCAGGUGGCAGCCAGGAAAGGUGUCCAGGAAAGGUCCCUCCAGCCUUCCCUGGUAUUUGCAAGCUGUGCUGAGUGAUGCACAUGUGUGCUGCACUCGGUGCAGGGUGGGCAUUGGAUAUAGUGGCUCCAAGGUGGCACAGUUGUGUCCCACAGGUGUGCAGUUUUGCAAAGAACAGAUCUCCAAAUUGUCUGUGUUUGGGGAGGUGACAGAAAAACACCAAAGAAACCAAGCUUCCAAUGUUUAAAGGAGGCCUGCAGGAAGGAUUGGGAAUGUCUCUUUAUCAAGGAGUAUAGGUUAGGACAAAGGGUAACGGCUCUAAACUAAAAGAGAGUAAGUUUAGAUUAGAUCUCAGGAAAAAAUUCUUCACUCAGAGAUUGGUGAGGCCCCACACUGCUGCCCAAAGCUGUGGGUGUCCAUCCCUGGAUGUGCCCAAGGCCUUAGAUGGCCCUGGAUUCAGCCUGAGGUGGGGGGCUGUCCCUGCCCAUGGCUGAAGUUGGGUCUGGAUGGGCUUUUUGUCCUUCCGACCCAUUCUAUGAUUCUACAGAAAAAAAAUAAAAAAAUAAAAAAAAAUUCCAGCAGAACUGUUGGAUGCCAGUAUAACCUAUUCUGUGGUGCCUCUUUGACCCUUCUUACAAAGCUGAUGGAUGGGGCUUUUUGCAUAUGAGAAGAUAUAAGCCAUAAAAGGCAAGAGUAGAAGUAUGUUCCUGGAUCUGCAGAUCCUAGAAACAUCUAGCCCUACUCAUUGAUUACAAUUUUUAACUUAUUCCAGGCGUUUUACA